GACGAACGCUGGCGGCGUGCUUAACACAUGCAAGUCGAACGGAAAGGCCCUGCUUGCAGGGUACUCGAGUGGCGAACGGGUGAGUAACACGUGGGUGAUCUGCCCUGCACUUCGGGAUAAGCCUGGGAAACUGGGUCUAAUACCGGAUAGGAGCCAUUUUUAGUGUGAUGGUUGGAAAGUUUUUUCGGUGUAGGAUGAGCUCGCGGCCUAUCAGCUUGUUGGUGGGGUAAUGGCCUACCAAGGCGGCGACGGGUAGCCGGACUGAGGGGGUGGACGGCCACAUUGGGACUGAGAUACGGCCCAGACUGCUACGGGAGGCAGCAGUGGGGAAGAUUGCACAAUGGGCGCAAGCCUGAUGCAGCGACGCCGCGUGGGGGAUGACGGCCUUCGGGUUGUAAACUCCUUUCGCUAGGGACGAAGCUUUUUGUGACGGUACCUAGAUAAGAAGCACCGGCUAACUACGUG
rnacentral:rRNA from 1 species